AAGUAGAGUUUGUGGACGCUCAACUCUCAAGUAGACACAGGAACAGUGCCGUGUACGACACUUUCAGUAAGCUGCUGAAAGAAAGGGGCUUUAAUCGCUCCAUAGAACAGUGCCGAACGAAAGUGAAAAAGUUGAGGGCGGACUACAUUAAAAUCCACGACAAACUGCAAAAAACCGGGAGUGAUGGGUCGGAGAAGGACAAAUUGCCCUGGUAUGACCAGCUCCACGAAAUACUAGGGGGUAAACCCGUUGUCGACCCUGUUGAUGUGGUUUAGUCCAGCUCAUCACACAAGCCUACAACUCCUUCUACUGAUGACAACACUGCUUCUACAAUCAAUAGUCCAUUUGAAGAGUCAGCCGAAAACCCUGGUGAGGCAGAGUGUGGUCCCUCAGCACCAAACACAAGCGAAAUAAACAGUGGAGGGUCAAACAUCGGGGGAAGGCUUCCUGUUCCUGGUUCUGAAGCUCGCAAACGAAAAAAGAAAUUGAAAAACGUAACAGAAGUUGGAAUUCAGGAAUACAUGGAAGACACCAAAAAAAAUGAUGAAAGACAUUUGUGAAACGGAGAAGAAGCAGUUGGCUGAGGAGACCGCUGCUUUAAAAGAGUUGGUUCAGGCUCAAAGGGACAGUGAAGAGAAACAAUUCCAGGCUAUGCAGGACCAGUUUCAGUCCACUAACCAGAUGCUCAUGCAACUAAUGGGCACAACUGCAUCUGCGUUGAAUCCUGCUCCACCUUCCCAUCCCUCCUGGACCACAACACCACCACCAGCAUCAAGCUCCUAUGGCUGGUCCAUGGCACGUCAGUACCCUCCACUGCUGGUCAAUUCUCCACCACAACUGCAAAUGCCUCCCACACCACAUCCUACUGUCCAACAAGAAGUUCGCUCUUCAUCUGCUGAUGAACACUCCACCACCACGUCAUACUUUCCAGCAUCAGUUGCAUUCCACACCACCUUCUGUCCAGCUGCCAAUACCCUCUAUACCUGUUGAUCCAGCUGUGCAUCAGCCACCACAUCCUAUCCAGCUACAAGGCUCCCUCCCCAGCAGCUCCCUUCACAGCAGCCUGACCCAGAAGAUGACAACAGUAGCAUCAUUGUACGCGAGGCCUUUGAUGUUGUCAAUCCACAACACUUUCACAAAUUUCAGUAACUUUUGUGUGUGUGUUUUUAUGGAGAACUGUACACCUUCAAUAGCUUGUUCAUUUUGCUAAGGUACAGUUUUAAAGAGUAAUCUUUAAAUAUAAAGGGCUAAUUUUUGCCUUCAUCUACCUCUUGCCAGUUGCACAUGUAGAGAUGUUUACCACCAUUCAAAAUGUGCGAAGUUGCAGUUUUUAAGAAUAAUGUUUUUUUUUUUUUGUUAUAUUUAUAGAAAAUGUUUCUUAUUGCCUACCUCUUGUCCUGAUUGCAGGUUAAGGGACAUUGCACGUUUAUAUCUGUUUACAACUAUUUAUAUUUUGUUAAGUUAUGAGAGAUGUUUACUUUUUUACAGAAAAUGUUAGAAUUUCUUCUUGUGUGCCACUUCAUGAUGGCUGUUUACGGCCCAUUGCACAUGUAGAG